UUAUACCGUGAAACUGCGAAUGGCUCAUUAAAUCAGUUAUCGUUUAUUUGAUAAUACCUUACUACUUGGAUAACCGUGGUAAUUCUAGAGCUAAUACAUGCUAAAAACCCCGACUUCGGGAGGGGUGUAUUUAUUAGAUAAAAAACCAAUGCCCUCCGGGGCUCCUUGGUGAUUCAUAAUAACUUCUCAGAUCGCAUGGCUCCAUGCCGGCGACGGUUCAUUCAAAUUUCUGCCCUAUCAACUUUCGAUGGUAAGGUAGUGGCUUACCAUGGUUUCAACGGGUAACGGGGAAUUAGGGUUCGAUUCCGGAGAGGGAGCCUGAGAAACGGCUACCACAUCCAAGGAAGGCAGCAGGCGCGCAAAUUACCCAAUUCCGACAUGGAGAGGUAGUGACAAUAAAUACUGAUACAGGGCUCUUUUGGGUCUUGUAAUUGGAAUGAGUACAAUUUAAACCUCUUAACGAGGAACAAUUGGAGGGCAAGUCUGGUGCCAGCAGCCGCGGUAAUUCCAGCUCCAAUAGCGUAUAUUAAAGUUGUUGCAGUUAAAAAGCUCGUAGUUGAACCUUUGGCCUGGCUGGCAGGUCCGCCUCACCGCGUGCACUUGUCCGGCCGGGCCUUCUCUUCUGGAGAACCGCAUGCCCUUCACUGGGUGUGUUGGGGACCAGGACUUUUACUUUGAAAAA
rnacentral:rRNA from 1 species